rnacentral:misc_RNA from 1 species
CGCAUCUUGCGCCUUCUGGUAUUCCGGAAGGCACACCUGUUUGAGUGUCAUGAAAUUCUCAAACUACUAAUAUUUCUGUUAGUAGUCUGGACAUGAGUGUUGCUGUUUUAACUCAGCUCGCUUUAAAAAGAUUAGUCUCAUUUAUCUAUUGCUGACUAACUCGACGUUGUAACACUUUCGUUGAGAUGCUUCUAAGCAGUUGCAAUAUGUAAAACGGCUCCUAACCUACCUAAGCGUGUAAGCUUCUUAAGCAUUUAGACCUCAAAUCAGGUGGGACUACCCGCUGAACUUAA